GUGUUUACCGGAAGUAAAGGAACUACAACUGCGGAGAAAUCACGAAGUGACAGGAGGAACCACUCUGAGGGAGAAAACGAGGCCCGGUUGCUGAACUGUGUUAAAGGUUGAACGUGAAGGAAUCCUAUUGGCUGCUGGAGGGGCUCACCUGUCCGAUCUCUACCAGGGUCGCCCAAUCAUUGUAACAUAAAGCAGUAGUGUUUGAUACUGUGAUAUACAACUAUAACAUUACACAUGACUAUGUAAUGAAUAACGUAGCAAAUCAUAAUGUAAGAUGACGUCAUAAUGUCAAAUGUUAAAUUAUGAUAUUUUCACUCUUCGCUCAUAAGAAGUUGUAAGGUUUUUUUAUCCCUUGUCCUAAUGGGUUUGAAUACAAUGAAUUGUGGGUAAUAAAAGACCACGACACAACCUGA